rnacentral:rRNA from 1 species
AACGAACGCUGGCGGCAGGCUUAACACAUGCAAGUCGAGCGCCCCGCAAGGGGAGCGGCAGACGGGUGAGUAACGCGUGGGAACGUACCCUUUACUACGGAAUAGCUCCGGGAAACUGGAAUUAAUACCGUAUGUGCCCUUCGGGGGAAAGAUUUAUCGGUAAAGGAUCGGCCCGCGUUGGAUUAGCUAGUUGGUGGGGUAAAGGCCUACCAAGGCGACGAUCCAUAGCUGGUCUGAGAGGAUGAUCAGCCACAUUGGGACUGAGACACGGCCCAAACUCCUACGGGAGGCAGCAGUGGGGAAUAUUGGACAAUGGGCGCAAGCCUGAUCCAGCCAUGCCGCGUGAGUGAUGAAGGCCUUAGGGUUGUAAAGCUCUUUCACCGAUGAAGAUAAUGACGGUAGUCGGAGAAGAAGCCCCGGCUAACUUCGUGCCAGCAGCCGCAGUAAUAC